UACAGAGGGUGCAAGCGUUGUUCGGAAUUAUUGGGCGUAAAGCGCGUGUAGGCGGCCUUGCAAGUCGGGUGUGAAAGCCCUCAGCUCAACUGAGGAAGCGCGCCCGAAACUGCAGAGCUUGAGUACCGGAGAGGAUGGCGGAAUUCCCCAAGUAGAGGUGAAAUUCGUAGAUAUGGGGAGGAACACCGGUGGCGAAGGCGAGUCCCUGGACGACUCCUGACACUGAGGCACGAAAGCUAGGGGAGCAAACAGG
rnacentral:rRNA from 1 species